GCUCCAUUGGCGCAGUUGGUUAGCGCGUGGUACUUAUAAGACUAAGAAAUGCCAAGGUCGGCAGUUCGAUCCUCCCAUGGAGCA
rnacentral:tRNA from 1 species